rnacentral:lncRNA from 1 species
UAUUGUUGUUUGAUGGAAGUAUGUUUUUUUUAGGGUAACUUGCUAAGUGGUAACUAAUAACUACCACAAGUUUUUACAGCCAGUGGAAAGGCUUGAGGUUUCUUCUAAGACAAUGAAAGAACUUGGUAUGACAGAUUAAUAAAGGCAGCAUGUGGUCUAUUAUAUGAACAGUAGACUUUAAGGAGACAGGGAGGGUGGAGAGGGACCAAGUAAAACAUUUCUACAAUGGCUCAAGUCAAAGUUGAUUAUGACAUAGACAAAGACAAGAAAUAAAUAGAAGUUAUCAAAAAGGCUUGGUUUGGAAGAUCUCUUAGAGAUAGGAAUGAAAAGAGGGGGGUGGUGGGAGAAAGAACUACAGAAAUGUUCCAGAUUUACUACUCGAUAUAUAUUUUUAAAAAAAUUCUCCAAAGCUCAGAAUAGAGAAUUUGCCAAAAAGCCCAUCACUCAUGAUUCAUUUGUCAUAAGCCUCUACUCAUUACCAUGAAAUUAUUCAGUCAUAAUUGCUGUCUUACUGAAGCAUACAGUUGACACAGUGAAGUCUCUGCUUUCACAGAACUUUAUACUUCUGAGUAAUGACUUUGUCUAUGCCAUGGGAUGGACGUCCUAUUCAUAUUGUGUCAAUAAACCUCAAUUAACAAUGUAAAAUUAAUGAAAAUAAUGUGAGUUAUUUAUAUUAGUUUAUGUGGUAGAAGAGUACUUAAUGACAACAAACUUGGUGUAUGUGAAUAUUAAAUUAUUGUAAAUUAUUUAAAAACAAUAAGAACUAGCCUUACAUUUCACCCCCCUGGACACUGUUUUCAAGAGAAGGAAGGAAACAUUCAAGAAAAAAUAAGAUAUAACUUAGCAUAAAUAAACAGAAAGAAUAUAAAUCUCUUUCACUUUUCUUUUUUUUAAUUUGGCAAUAGAACUGUUGAUAUUACCACACUAUCUGGCUCUCUCUUUUUCCUUUAUCAGUAAACUACCCACAUUUUAACUGGGCACAUUCCUGUCAAUCUGAUGAGAAUCUAUUUCAUACCCUGCUUUAGCUGGUAGUCUGUCAAGGAAAUGAGCUGAACAUGUCUGUGUACAGCUUUUGUGCCAUCCCUGGAUGAGCGAGCUGUCUGCCUCUAUGUUCUCCACAAAAUGGAAUAUAGCUGUACACCCAAGCCAAGUUAUGGAGGCUGGGAAGACCUAGAAUGUGGCAUCACUAUUUGCUGAAAUUUUUAAUAUAAUGCCUCUUAGCCUGGUUUGGAGAAAACGUCACAGAGAGGCACCAUUUGUUGUGGUUUUACAUGAAAAUUUUCUGACCCUGAACCUGGUUUGAUGGAAAUCAUUUGCUGAGGUAAUUAUCUCAAAUUAACUACCAAGCUGAUGAAUCGCUUACUACUUAAAAGCUGUGAUGGGGAGAGGAGUAAUUGAGAGCGGCCUUGUUGGGAGGGGAUGUGGACAUUUUUUUUUUCAGCAGCCAAUCAACUUAGAGGUUUUUUUUUGUUUUGUUUUGUUUUGUUUUUGUCUUGUUUUUUUUUCUGUGUAGAAUCUGAAUGUAUUGUCACAAGGUGAACACCAG